AGUUAAGCUUCCCCCAACGACCACCCCCACCAAGAAACCACCCAGGAAAAGGAACAAAUGGAACAUAUUGAAAUGCGCCUACAUGAUGGUCACCUUCUUGUUUGUGUCUUACAAUAAAGGAGACUGGUGUUACUGCCACUAUUGUAGCCCAGACAUGGACAACAGAAGUGACCCCUGCUGUUCUUACUAGCCACCCUGCUCCAUCUUAGCUCAACCUUCAUGGGUCCCUCAUCUCCCAGGUAGUCUCACCUCCCAAGAAACCUCUCUGUGCCCUGGACUGCAAAUGUGGAGAGUCACGAAUUGGGCCCUUUGAGGAAUGACAUCUGCCAGGCCAGAGGCACAGUGGGAAAGUGUCUGUGAUGGGUCCAGAGAGUAGCCAAGUGGGAAAUUAGUAGGGGUUUCCCCCACAACUUUUCUUCCAGACUCUUUUCAACCCUUCUUCACUGUUUCCAUA